ensembl:lncRNA
CUUGGCCCCACUGAAGUCAAUGGCAAAACUCCCAUUGAUUUCACUGGGGCCAGGAUUUCACCCUGAAUAAAAGCUCAUGUUUUAGGCACAGUUUAAAUGGCAAUGGGUUUAUCUGUGAAAUUAUUGAAGAAUUGUUUUGGGGAAAGUUAUACUGCUGAAAAGCAAUUAUGUAUUUAUUUAGCCUUUAAGGAGCGGUUGAUGCUUUCACAAGCAGUGCAAAGGAGCUUCAGCGGACCCACCUCAAGGCUGAAUACGUAUGAAAUGUGGUUGGGCAGCUAUUAGAAGACAUAAAUGAGUGCAAUUCAAUGUCUUCAGACAAAAUUUCACUGAAAAGCUCCUGGGUUUGCAUCUGGAUGAUCCAAAUGUGAAUAUUUUUCCUUCUGAGUGACGUAGGAUCUCACCAGGGCUCCAAGUGCAGCGGAUGUAACAUAUUGGAGUUGCUGAGCCUGUUGGACAUGAGCUUGCAGCUCUCUGUCCUGCUCCCACACUAAUUGAACACAGCCACAGGCCUGCGGUUCUUACUGCAGCCCCAGCAGCACUGAGCAGACCCAAAGGUCUCGGUAGGGAGGUGGGCAGCUUAUCGUUGCUGGCUUUGGACAUCCUCAGAAAGGUCUGGGGAAGCCCUCCACUCCACAGCCUUCUCUAUUUUUUUUUAGUUGAGGGUUUCUCAUCUUCCUAGUUAGCACUGCAGAUGAGCAAAGUGUUACGACUCACGAGCUUCCACACUUGGAGCAGCCAUGUUUUGCUGUGACAAUUUGCAAGCAGAAAAAUAGGCUGGUUUUCUCUGGAUAUUUAGCUCACAUUGUAUAUUCCUCCAGCUACGUUCUUAAUGCUUUGAAAAGUAUCUGGAGAUCAAGAACCUAACUUUGCAUUUCAGUCAAAAGAAUAGCCAGUAGUAAAAUAAAACUGUAUACAAACAAUACUCGGUGAUUGGAAAGCACCAUUUUCCCCUUCAAAGCUCUUUGCUGUAGUGAAUGACUCACGCUUUUAACCAAAAACCAUAAAUCUUAUAUCCAAAAUAUUCCCUUGUUUUGACCGGAGCUCAUCAGGCUGAUUAAUUUUUUCUCGAUUUUCCCUGAAAACCACACCGUGGCAUCGCUUCAGCACUGACUGCCCACUUUGCACAGACACCGCUCGUUCCUGAAAUACUUAGGUUUCCUGGGAAUUUACAGUGGGUCUCUUCCAAGUACUCAGUAAGUCUGAUCUUGUUUAAAUUACGUGAAUGGACAAAAUUAUAGCCUUUGAUGCUACGCUGUGAAAACAUUUAAUCUAUUUUGUUUUUAGCUUUCCUUUGACUGGUACAAGAAACAAAGCAUGGGAAAGUAGGCCGGUCAUGAUUUAUGGGUGAGUGGCCAGUCACAUUUGGAGCUAAUCUGUUUUCCAAACAUUUAUACUUCCUAAGAAGCAUUUUCUCCAGAAGGAUAGCUCCUGGAAGUGGCUGCAGGACUGGUCAGAGAGGGCGAAAACAUGACAUGUGAUGUAGUCACCCUGAUUAAGGUCCUGUCCAAUUAGGUUUAACAAGACAGAGUUAGGGAACCAUUCUAAAAUACACCAAGGAGAGGAAAAUAUUAAGGAACAAAGAGGCUUCUGGUCUCAAAGCAGCAGAAAAAGGAAUUUCAAACCAUUCUGAUGAAUAAGCAUGACCACAGCGUGAUGGAGGGGCAAAAAUGGGACAACUCUGGCUCUGAGAAUUCGUGUUGAGAUUAAAAAAGCAAACAAAAAAAUAAAUCCUUUCACUCCUAGACUGCUAAUUCAGCUCCACCAACCGAUUAGUCACAAUCAUCUGAUAGUUAUUGAGCAUAUCCUCUCUGGAACAAACUGGUGGUCUCAGAUCUGGCUUUAGGGGACAUCUGGCAGUAUUCUAACAGUGUUCUAACAAAACAAGGUUUCUGCUUGCCAUUGUUGCUGGCCAUCUCCAUAGGAAGGCCAAAGAACUCUUUGAGCAAGAAAUUAAUAACCAUAAGAACAAAAAACACAACAAUAGCUAUUAUUAUUUUUAAUUCACAAGAGGGAAUUAUACAACUGUAUGAGGGUGGCAGCAAUCACACAGCCACAGGGGAUUCCUGUAAAGCAGGGCUGAGAUGUGAGAUGUCUGGGGCUGGACUGGGAAGCAUCUGUGACUGCCACUAUCUUGGCCAACAGAGCAGGGACCAGACCAGGGUUUGCAGCCCUGUAGAGCUACAAGCACCAGCUGAAGGAGCCCAUAGUCCCACCUUUGUAGCCAGAAAACACCAUGUAGCCACAUCUCUCCUCUGCACUGACCCAGGCAGCUGACAACACACUCAACCAUGAGUUGCUUUUGAUUUUGCUUUCCAGUCUUCUCUAGAGGAAAGAGAAAAACUUUCAGGGUCUGUAAGUCCUAACUCCCUUGUGAUCACUUCACUGAUGUAUAAAGAGAGAAUUUUCACCAAAUCCAUGAUAAGGAUUGGAACAUAACGCUUUAUCAUUCCUAUGUUGGCCCUAAGGUGAUAAUUUAAAUGAAUUUUGCAUUCUGUGCUGAUUUAUGGUGGCUAAAUGAAUGUAAUAAAACUUCCCAGACCCUUUUCAUGUGUAUUAUUGAUAAAAACACCCACUAAAUGAAAAGUGAAAAUCUAUCUUUGUGAGCUUUAAUACACGAUGCUGGCAUCUGUUUUUCAUUUAACAGGAUGACUGAAAUGAAUGUAACUCCAAAAAAAAAAAAAAAAAGAAAACCCAAAAAACUCAAACAACCAAAUGUGUACAUAUCAUCGUGCAAAAAUGGUCAUUUCAUCACUCACUGAUGAUCAGCUCUGAUUUAUUUGAACAGACUCUUAGCGUCUGCCUUUCCUUCUCACCCAGGAGUUGAGUUCAGCAGGAGUUUUUCUUGGGCAAGGUCUUCAGGCUCUGACCCAGACAUAUCCAUCUGCAACAACAACAGUUGGAAAGGGCUGUGUACACUGUAAUAGCAGAGUGGAUCAGAAAUACAGUGGAAGACUUUAAGUUUCCAUUCCAUCACAGUCUCCUGUGCUUUGACAUUUAGAAAUUUUUAUGCACAGUGUUAGAAACGUCCCAUGGAGGGGUGGGAAAACUCAGCACUGCAGCCUAAACUCAUCUAAAUGUCCCAUGAUGGCAUCUGAACACGUCCUUGGAAGAAUGUGUUGGUGUCAUUUGCAUGUCGUUCCGACUUCGUUCACAUGAAUAAUGGAAUAACCACAGUGGUGCAGCCAGAACAAAUGUCAUACUGAAUCCAUCAGGCAGGCAGCAACGUCAACACCACUGGGUAUUCACUGUGUUAAAACAGGGCUAGGACGCUUGGACCAGUGAGAAAGCCACCUGGUUGGGAUGUACCUCUCAGCAAUCCCCCUGCUUACCAGCCGUUUUUCCUAAUGGCAUUUCUUUCAGGUUGCUGCCUCUUCCAGUUCUUCUCAAUGUGCAACAUCACAGCUGUAUGGCUGCGAAACAGCAUGGAAAGGGACAAAUCCUCAGGAAUUUUGGAUCUGCAACCUUCAAUCAGCAUCGGGGGAGCUGUCCAGGCUCAGAAGACAUCCAUCAAGUUCUUACUCCAAAGAAAUCCUCUGUCAUCUGCCUCAUCCCGUACCCUCUGAAGCCAGUGGGAGUCCUACCAGAUAAUUCAAUAGAAAUUGGCCCAGGACUCACCUAAAACACACCUGUUCCUUACUACAUAGAGUGAUAAGCUGCUAGGUUUGUUUUUUAAUUGGACACUUAAUACCAGCUUUGGCAGGUGAUUAAACUGUGAUUUACUUCCAAGGGAGAUAAGAAGUAAAUUUCAAAGGAGUUCUGGAUAGGUGGUUUAACAGCACAGUGAUUACACACGGACAUUUUGGAAGAACGGGGCAAGGAGAAAUGACACUCCAUGGCCCAGGUCUGUACGUUACUGUGCAUAACUCAAGUGCAAAAUGGGACACUGAUCUCCUGGAGGAACCACAGAAAGGAUGAAACCAAAGUUGUCCUGGGAGCCAGAGCCCUACCCUGGUGGGAUGGGGUCAGGGAUCCAAAGGGAAUUUGAGAAGAAGCUACUGGAGAGACCAAUCUGCAUGGAGAUGUCAAUGUGGUGUCUCUCUUUUUCAUGGAAAGGGACAUCAGGAGCUAAAGGAAAGAUCUUAUUGCUGGAAACUGUCUGAAAAAUGAAACAGCAGAGAAACCAAUCGACACAGAGGAAUUGCAGCAGCCAACGAGAAUGGAGGGAUUUGCAUAUCCAGACAGAAGCUGCUGGGAAAGAGCUGCAAAGGGAUUAUGUAAAUCCCUGAUUGGGUGAACGUGGCUGAUUGCCAGAGUAGGGGAUGCACACACUGCACCGUACCUGGGUAACGAUUAUGCAAAUUGCACACCCCCAGCCAGAGAGCAGGGCAGUUGGCUAGAUGAGGGAAAUUGCAGUUCCGCAUCAGUAAAUGCCCAGCGCUCCUCAAUCACACCUCACUGCAGGACGGAGUCAGCACAGGCAGGAACCUCUGACAGCCCCACCGCAUCCAUCAGAUGCUUGGGCGCCCUGUCGAGCAAAUGGGUCUUUGGAUUGCCAUUUGCAUUUACAGAGACUCUAGCAUCAAAGGGAUAAGAAAAUGGAAGCUCAAAUGAGGACUUCUCCAUGUUGCCUGCAGUUGUGUGAUCCCGGUGCAAAUCUAUUCUUGGUCAAAGAAAGAAUGCAAUUGCCAAACAGAUGAGCUCCAGCCUUAACUUGCAGGGGAGAGAUCUGUAGAGACUGGUGGUACAAUCAAUACAUCUGAUUUUUAGUACUUACAUAUAAUAACAUCUAUUCUGUGAUUUUUGGAAAAGCAAUGACAUAUAGAUUAAUAAUAAGAAGACGACACUGUGCAGACAUAAUUACAAUCUUAAUGUAAUAUCCAGAAGUUUCCUUCUAUUCUUUCCUCCCCCCCCCCCCCAUCACCCCCCUCCUUUUAUUCAACUGUGCACAAAUAUAUGCCUACAUGUGUUCAGUCCAGCAUCAGUUCUUGAAUCCAACAUAGCAGUAUCUCAAACUAAUUUAACUUUGCCCUGAACAGUUUUUAACAUUUUUGGGAGCUUUUUGCAAAAGGAAACUUUAUUCCCACGGGCUCCAAGUUCUGAAAUGCUUCUGUGAUUUUCACUUAGAAAGUUGAAGUGGCAGGAUUCAGAAAUCUUGGGAAAUGCUCUGAUGGUGUUGUACAAUUGACUGUAAGAUAACAUUACCACUCCAGACUUUCCAUAGCAGAUGGCAGAUGGGUAUCAGGUAUCAAGGUUAUGGGCUCAGUUUGAAAACAAGAAUAUGACUGAGGAAGAGCUGGACAGGUUGGAAGAAAAGGAGAGAACUGUCCAUCUCCUAAUGUGGCACAUCAUGAGAUCUCACUGAGCUCACUGGCAUUGAAUUCAGAUAUAGAUUCAUAGAAUCAUUAAGGUUGGAAAAGACAACUGAGAUCAUUUCGUCCAACCAUCACCCCAUCCCCACUACGCCCACUAAGCCAUGUCACUCAAAUAUGCAGUGACAGCUGUUCGGUCACCAGAUCAGUUCUUUGGGAGGUCAGUACCACAACCAAUUUCCUAGCAGAGCCCAUGCUAGUGAGGAAAAGAUAAGACACCUCCAUGAAGUUUUCCCCACUGGAUUAUUCUCUUAUUUCCCCUAAUUAUUCCCGUGGGAGGGCAGAAUCAGCUUCUGUAUGUAACAGGUUAUUGGGGAUAUCGCCAAAUGCUCUUAGUCCUGGAGGACCAAUUAAUUUUAAUGGAGGCUCCCCUGAAAAUAGAG